AGUGAACGCUGGCGGCGUGCCUAAUACAUGCAAGUCGAGCGGCAACACAGUGAGCUUUUGCCCUUACGGUUGGCGGCUGACGGGUGGGUGACGCGUGGAUCACCUUCUUCUUAUUCGUGGGGGACAACGUGGGACAACUGAUACUACUACAUCAUACGUCCUACCGGUGGAUUCAAGAGAGAUAGGGACCUUUCGCGAUUCUAAGAGCCGAUGUCGGAUUAGCUAGUUGGCUGGGUAAAGGCUCACCAAGGCGACGAUCCGUAGCUGGUCUGAGAGGGUGAUCGGCCACACUGGAACUGAGACACGGUCCAGACUCCUACGGGAGGCAGCAGUGGGGAAUAUUGGACAAUGGGCGAAAGCCUGACGCAGCAAUACCGCGUGGGUGAAGAAGGCCUUCGGGUUGUAAAGCCCUUUUGUUGGGAAAGAAAAGCAGCAGGUUAAUACACCGCUGUUGUGACGGUACCCAAAGAGAAAGCAACGGCUAACUACGUG
rnacentral:rRNA from 1 species